rnacentral:rRNA from 1 species
AUGGACGGAAAACGGGGCGGUGGAUGGAGGUGUUGCUGCCAGGGGUCGGAUGUCCGGGUGGAAGGCCGGAUGUUCGGGCUUGACGGGCCGGAUGUCUGGGCUCUGGAUCCAGGGACGAACGGGAUGAACACUGCAUGGAGAGGUCAAAUCUGGGCGAAAUUCGGAGGAAUUUGUGGAUGGAAAUGGGGGAAAAAGGAUGGGAAGCUAGAUCCACUCAAAACAAAGCAAAUCCACGGAUCCAAACCAACAAAAUCUCAACAAACCAACAAAACACAAAAAAAUGGGGCUAUUUUUGGUGGGGAAUUUUCAAAUUAG